rnacentral:rRNA from 1 species
GGGGAAUCUUAGACAAUGGGCGCAAGCCUGAUCUAGCCAUGCCGCGUGAGCGAUGAAGGCCUUAGGGUUGUAAAGCUCUUUCGUGGGGGAAGAUAAUGACUGUACCCCAGGAAGAAGCCCCGGCUAACUCCGUGCCAGCAGCCGCGGUAAUACGGAGGGGGCUAGCGUUGUUCGGAAUUACUGGGCGUAAAGCGCACGUAGGCGGAUCAGAAAGUCAGAGGUGAAAUCCCAGGGCUCAACCUUGGAACUGCCUUUGAAACUCCUGAUCUUGAGGUCGAGAGAGGUGAGUGGAAUUCCGAGUGUAGAGGUGAAAUUCGUAGAUAUUCGGAGGAACACCAGUGGCGAAGGCGGCUCACUGGCUCGAUACUGACGCUGAGGUGCGAAAGCGUGGGGAGCAAAC